GGAGAUCUCCAGGUGGAAGGAGUACUUUACAGCACUGGAGGUGCUAUUUGGAAAGGGGGUUUCAACCCAAUGACUCUAUCAGGCCUGCUGUUUGAUGCCGACCGCGAUGAGGAUGAGGUGUUCUAUGACAUCAGCAUGGCAGUUGACAACAAGUUAUUUCCAAACAAAGAGGCUGCAGCAGGUUCAAGUGACCUUGAUCCUUCGAUGAUAUUGGACACUGGAGAGAUCAUUGAUACAGGAUCUGAUUAUGAAGAUCAGGGUGAUGACCAGUUAAAUGUAUUUGGAGAGGACACUAUGGGAGGUUUCAUGGAAGAUUUGAGAAAGUAUAAAAUUAUUUUCAUAAUUGGUGGUCCUGGCUCUGGCAAAGGCACACAGUGUGAAAAGCUGGUGGAAAAAUAUGGAUUUACACAUCUCUCAACUGGCGAGCUCCUGCGUGAGGAACUGGCAUCAGAAUCUGAAAGAAGCAAAUUGAUCAGAGACAUUAUGGAACGUGGAGACCUGGUGCCCUCAGGCAUCGUUUUGGAGCUCCUGAAGGAGGCCAUGGUGGCCAGCCUCGGGGACACCAGGGGCUUCCUGAUUGACGGCUAUCCUCGGGAGGUGAAGCAAGGGGAAGAGUUCGGACGCAGGAUUGGAGACCCACAGUUGGUGAUCUGUAUGGACUGCUCG
rnacentral:sRNA from 1 species